rfam:Pelosinus sp. TFO1, complete genome.
AUAUGCCUGGGAUGUUUGUUAUCUUUUAUAUGUCCAACCUACUUUUAUAAAUGGGGAAUCUAAUCGUUAUGCGGAUGUCGGGCCAUCUUCGAGUGGAUGACAAAAACGUAACUAAGAUGCCCACCUGCGAGUGGCAGGUUUGGACAUAUAAUAGAAACGAUAUCAUGGGCUACAU